rnacentral:rRNA from 1 species
GACGAACGCUGGCGGCGUGCUUAACACAUGCAAGUCGAACGAUGAAGAAAAGAAUUGAAGCUUCGGCAGAAAUUCAUUUCGGAUUAGUGGCAGACGGGUGAGUAACGCGUGAGCAACCUACCUCUUACAAAGGGAUAGCCUCGGGAAACCGGGAUUAAUACCAUAUAACAUUGCGACGAAGCAUUUCGAUGCAAUCAAAGCUACGGCGGUAAGAGAUGGGCUCGCGUCCCAUUAACCAGAGGGUGGGGUAACGGCUCACCAUAGUAACGAUGGGUACCGGGCGGGAGGGGGGGAACGGUCCCCGGGAAAUGGGCACCGGCCCCAGACCCCCAGGGGGGAAGACAGGGGGAAAUUUCACAAAGGGAGGGAACUCUGAUGCAGCGACGCCGCGUGAGUGAUGAAGGAAUUCGUUUCGUAAAACUCUGUUCUAUGGGAAGAAAAGGACUGUACCAUAGGAGAAAGCUCCGGCUAAAUACGUG